rnacentral:rRNA from 1 species
GACGAACGCUGGCGGCGUGCUUAACACAUGCAAGUCGAACGGAAAGGCCCUGCUUUUGUGGGGUGCUCGAGUGGCGAACGGGUGAGUAACACGUGAGUAACCUGCCCUUGACUUUGGGAUAACUUCAGGAAACUGGGGCUAAUACCGGAUAGGAGCUCCUGCUGCAUGGUGGGGGUUGGAAAGUUUCGGCGGUUGGGGAUGGACUCGCGGCUUAUCAGCUUGUUGGUGGGGUAGUGGCUUACCAAGGCUUUGACGGGUAGCCGGCCUGAGAGGGUGACCGGCCACAUUGGGACUGAGAUACGGCCCAGACUCGUACGGGAGGCAGCAGUGGGGAAGAUUGCACAAUGGGCGGAAGCCUGAUGCAGCAACGCCGCGUGCGGGAUGACGGCCUUCGGGUUGUAAACCGCUUUCGCCUGUGACGAAGCGUGAGUGACGGUAAUGGGUAAAGAAGCACCGGCUAACUACGUG